GGAUGCGAUCAUACUAGCACUAAAGCACCGGAUCCCAUCAGAACUCUGAAGUUAAGCGUGCUUGGGCGAGAGUAGUACUAGGAUGGGUGGGCGAGAGUAGUACUAGGAUGGGUGACCUCCU
rnacentral:rRNA from 1 species